rfam:Danio rerio chromosome 14, GRCz11 reference primary assembly.
ACUGGUUGCCCUUACCUCUCUGCAACUCUCACAUGGUCGCCCACUGAAGCUAAGCAGGGCUGCACCCGGUCAGUACCUGGAUGGGAGACCACAUGGGAAAGCUAGGUUCCUGCCGGAA